UGCCCUUUAGUUUAAUGGUAGAACGCGCGUGUUACGAGCGACGAGGUUCGGGUCCGAUCCCCGGCAGGGCAACCA
rnacentral:tRNA from 1 species